rnacentral:rRNA from 1 species
GAGUGAACGCUGGCGGUAGGCCUAACACAUGCAAGUCGAACGGCAGCACAGUAAGAGCUUGCUCUUACGGGUGGCGAGUGGCGGACGGGUGAGGAAUACAUCGGAAUCUACUUUUUCGUGGGGGAUAACGUAGGGAAACUUACGCUAAUACCGCAUACGACCUACGGGUGAAAGCAGGGGAUCUUCGGACCUUGCGCGAUUGAAUGAGCCGAUGUCGGAUUAGCUAGUUGGCGGGGUAAAGGUCCACCAAGGCGACGAUCCGUAGCUGGUCUGAGAGGAUGAUCAGCCACACUGGAACUGAGACACGGUCCAGACUCCUACGGGAGGCAGCAGUGGGGAAUAUUGGACAAUGGGCGCAAGCCUGAUCCAGCCAUACCGCGUGGGUGAAGAAGGCCUUCGGGUUGUAAAGCCCUUUUGUUGGGAAAGAAAAGCAGCAGGUUAAUACCCCGCUGUUCUGACGGUACCCAAAGAAUAAGCACCGGCUAACUUCGUG